UACGACGGGAGCUAGCGUUGUUCGGAAUCACUGGGCGUAAAGCGCACGUAGGCGGAUUUGUAAGUCAGGGGUGAAAUCCCGGGGCUCAACCUCGGAACUGCCUUUGAUACUGCGAGUCUUGAGCACGGAAGAGGUGAGUGGAAUUCCUAGUGUAGAGGUGAAAUUCGUAGAUAUUAGGAAGAACACCAGUGGCGAAGGCGGCUCACUGGUCCGCUGCUGACGCUGAGGUGCGAAAGCGUGGUGAGCAAACAGU
rnacentral:rRNA from 1 species